GAUGAACGCUGGCGGCGUGCCUAAUACAUGCAAGUCGAGCGAACAGACGAGGAGCUUGCUCCUCUGACGUUAGCGGCGGACGGGUGAGUAACACGUGGAUAACCUACCUAUAAGACUGGGAUAACUUCGGGAAACCGGAGCUAAUACCGGAUAAUAUAUUGAACCGCAUGGUUCAAUAGUGAAAGACGGUUUUGCUGUCACUUAUAGCUGGAUCCGCGCCGCAUUAGCUAGUUGGUAAGGUAACGGCUUACCAAGGCAACGAUGCGUAGCCGACCUGAGAGGUGGAUCGGCCACACUGGAACUGAGGCACGGUCCAGACUCCUACGGGAGGCAGCAGUAGGGAAUCUUCCGCAAUGGGCGAAAGCCUGACGGAGCAACGCCGCGUGAGUGAUGAAGGUCUUCGGAUCGUAAAACUCUGUUAUUAGGGAAGAACAAAUGUGUAAGUAACUAUGCACGUCUUGACGGUACCUAAUCAGAAAGCCACGGCUAACUACGUG
rnacentral:rRNA from 1 species